AACUGUAGAACUAGGAGGUGUAGAACUGUAGAACUAGGAGGUGUAGAACUGUAGAACUAGGAGGUGUAGAACUGUGGACCCAACCUGCUCACUGAAGGUCAUCAUCCAUAUUCACUCUAAUCUCCUGGAUCCGGAUCGAAGGACCGAUUUGUUCCGAUUCAGAUCGUAAGAAUUGGGUUUGGAUCACAAGGUGGUGAUCGCAGAAUGUUGAUCGAUUAAAAGCCUCAUUGAUCCUCAAUCAAAUGAUGAGGUGAUGAUUUCCUGGUUCUUUAAAAGGCAGAUUCAGGGUUUAGGUGGAUGGAUGUGGAUCUACAAAGGAUCAGAUAAAUAAAACU